rnacentral:rRNA from 1 species
CCUACGGGAGGCAGCAGUGGGGAAUAUUGGGCAAUGGGCGCAAGCCUGACCCAGCAACGCCGCGUGAAGGAAGAAGGCUUUCGGGUUGUAAACUUCUUUUAAGAGGGAAGAGCAGAAGACGGUACCUCUUGAAUCAGCCACGGCUAACUACGUGCAAGCAGCCGCGGUAAUACGGAGGUGGCAAGCGUGUUCCGGAUUUACUGGGUGUAAAGGGCGUGCAGCGGGGAAGACAAGUGAGAUGUGAAAUCCCGCGGCCUAAACGCGGUACUGCCUUUGAAACUGUUUUUCUUGCGUACCGGAGAGGUCAUCGGAAUUCCUUGUGUAGCGGUGAAAUGCGUAGAUAUAAGGAAGAACACCAGUGGCGAAGGCGGAUGACUGGACGGCAACUGACGGUGAGGCGCGAAAGCGUGGGGAGCAAACAGGAUUAGAUACCCCGGUAGUC